UCAUACAUGAAAACGGUGGAAGUGAGGAAUACUGAACAAAAAUAUGCUAUUUGUUGUUUUACUUCUUAUCUACGCAGCAUCAGAUAUGAAGACUUGUCAGGAAGUGAGAAGGAUUGUCAAAAUCUUGCCAAAAUUAAUUUUUUCCAGAAGCCUUAGGUUUUAGUCAUCUAGGCGCAGUGACUAGAAGUAAGACAUUAUCUCUUCUUUCAUCAGUCUUUCAGCACUCCCUGAAGCAGUGUGCAUUCUGGGAAGAGCGCAAGUAAAGUAAACAGACAGAUUGAACUACUCAAACCUGUUACAAAACUAAGUCAGUACUCACUAGUAGUUGCAGAGAAGCUAGAAAGCUGAUUUAUUCCCUGUAUAGGCAGAAUUAACAAGAGUGAUUAUACUCAACAUAGUAACUCAGAAGAGGAAUGGAAGUGUUGAUAUUGCAUCCUAGGGCCUCUGUCAUUAAAGUUCAUAUCCUCACCUCCAUUAUUUUCAAGACUUGCAUUACCUUGUGUCAACAGAUCCUGUCACCAUCACCCUCAACAAACAGUGUGUGGCAAGUCUUGAAAGACUGGAAAUAGGUCCUUGAUAUGUGAUUCAGUUAGCUGAAGGUAAAAAUGUCUAGUGGCACUUAAGAUAUUCUAUUGUUUUGUAGAGAUUCAUCUCAAUUGUCCUGUCCUCAGGACAAUUAGUGAUGCAAAUAGUGAUCUCACUCAGAAGGAAAGCAACUGUACUGAGACACUGAAAGCUGCCUGCAAUGGUAUUUCACUGCAUGUGUCACCAUAAACAGUUCCCACAGCUUGAGUAUUUGAUACUUUGUACAUCCUAUUUCCAAACGUUUGUGUGAUAUCUGUGAUAUGUCUGCGGCCAUCUAUACACCUCUGGUUUUAACUCUGGCAGAAUUACAGCUACUUUGAUGGACACCUCCAAAAUCAUGUCUCUGGUCCCCAAAUAGGGCUUGUUGUCAUUAGAGUACAUACACUGAUUUAUUUCCUACUCCAGGAGUGCUCCAGUGCUGCAUUCCCACUAGUCUUUCCUAGGGCUGAGGUGGGGAACAGUCCUUAGGGGCUCUGGAAGAGAAGGUGACUUUGGAAAACAAGGAUCUGUAGAGUUAUACCUUGGGUGGGCACCCUCUCACAACCCUGGGGAGAGGUUGCUGCAGGCUAGAGGUAUUUCAGGUGGCUUAAGGAGAAAAAACACUAAGAAAUACAUGUUCCAUGCUUCGUGCCUACAAGAUGAUGUCAUGAUCCGUUUAUUCACUGAAGAAUACGGGGCUGAUAGAAUGGCCUUCUUAUUAAUAAGUAAUUAAAGGAGGCUAGAGGGAUAAGCAAACAAAGUUGGUAUAUGUACUCCCUCAAAAUUCCUGUGAGCAAAGAUAAGAGAAAAACAAAUGAGGGGAAAAAGCCUGUCUGCCAUUAGAGCAGACUGUUCUCAAUAGCUGGCAGAGGAGACAGUGACAGGACAAAAGGCAACAUUCAAAAGACAUCUAUAUGUUGUCCUGGGCAAACCUGCUUGAGCAGGGGUGUUGGACAAGAUGACUUCCAGGCGUCCCUUCCAACCUCAACCAUUCAGUGAUUCUCUGUACCGGAAACUUUUUUUUUCUCCUUGGCAGCAAUAACAGCAAUGAAAGGAGAAAAAGUCCUUAUUUUUUUGAUUUGCAGUACCUGCGGAGGUCCAAAUGUCUGCAUAGAGUCCAGGCUACAGAGCAGUGGCAGGGAAGGUUUUCCUUCUGCUUCAUGCUUGUUCCUGAAUCCUGGAGAGGAGAUUCAAAACCAAAGUAGGACAGGACUUCUCCUUAAUAAGUUUUCCAGGGCUGCAGCAUGGCAGGUUAUGGUAGGCAUAUCCUCCUGUGUGAGAACAGCACUGAAAUAGCUGCCAUAUUCCUGCAGAGAUACCAGCCAUCAAAAGACAUGCUGAUUGCAUGAGGUGGUACUGCUUUUAGCCAUGAAUGUCCCCUGUCUUGAGAGCACCAGACAGACCAGCUUUCCUGGAAGUACUGGGCUAGCGGUCUGACUCAAUUUAGGGACCUAAACUGUUACUUGGAUUUCAUAAAACUGCCCAUCCUGAUGUUAUAAAAGAGUUACUUUUGUGGCAACUAUAAUUAUGAAACACGGAGGAAAUAAAAAUAUUGGCAGCGUUAUUUUUGUUCUACUGAAGGUAGUGGGAAGAGACUGGACCCCUUAGGUCUGCUGUGCCAGUAUGGAAAACUCUCCACUGUCCCAAGAGCUGGCAGAUAUGUUUCAGUCCACCCUGGCUGCCUCAUGGCUUCCCCAGGCUGCUGCCUAUAGGCUUUUUAUUUCGAUCUUCAUUCUUCUGGGAGUAAUUCCCUUUUCAGAAUUUGGGGAUGAUUUUGUUGUCCAGGAAUUCUACAUUUUUUGUUUGAAGAUUAUUACACUGAAGAACCAACAUCUCAGGAAACCUGCUUUUUCCUUUGGGGUCACCUUCAGACUCCUUGGGACUCACAUCGAAGUGGAAAUCUUGAAUGUCAGUGCUCCCUGGUAAGUAACUGGUAUGAAGCAGCAUGUCCAAACAGCUCCACUGCUGGCUGCUGCCUUCCCACAGCCGGGUGUUUCCUCAGCUUUGUGACUGAGCAGCCAUAUGUUUUUCUUGGUGCUCCUGAGACCUGUGCGCUGAGGAAGUGUUUCUACAGUGUGAGAAGGAUUAUUAAACUGAAGCUAACAGGUAGAUGGCCUGGACCAUGGCUGGGAAACCAACAGUGUGAACCACCAGUUCUGGCUUUAGACAUGACUAGCUUCAUUAAGGAUGCUGUCUGUGUUAAAAUCGCCAUCAGUCCAUUACACCCAGCUAUAUCUAUGGUUUGUUCUGUGAUGCUGGAAGCUGGUUCAAUACCGUAGCUUGUGUGGAUAUGUCAAAUGUGUCACCACUGAACAGAAGCUUU